UUCCCUGCAGUUUGGCUUUGGGCCUUUUGAGUUGCCUCCUCAGUGGCUCUCAGAGACCCGAAACAGCAAGAAGCGGCUGCUUCCCCCCUUGGGCAACACCCCAGAAGAGCUGAUCCAGACAAAGGUGCCCAAGGAUUUCAAUGGAUAUUAUAAAGGGAAACCUAGAUGGAAUUUCAAAACCAGCUUCAAAUUCAAGAAUACGCCCUGGGAGCAGAAGUUCAAAUGCUUCUUUGGAGGUGCUCUCAACAGAACCAGGAUCCUUCAAGGUCGAUACUGCAAGCAACUUGAACUCUGGUAAAGAGGACCACUCCGAAAGCA
ensembl:lncRNA novel transcript